CAAAAUAUUCUAGAGCUACAAAUCCAUGGCAGCAUAGUAUAAUGGUUAAAAGCAUGGAAUUUAGAACUAGACUUUCUGAGUUCUAACCCAGAGUCACUACUUAUUAGGUAUAUAAUAUUAACCAAGUGAGUAUGCCUCACUGUGCCUGUUUCCCAGUUGGUAUAAUGGCAAUGAUAAUGUUACCAACCUUGCACAGCUGUUGUGAGGAUUCAAUGAGUAAAGGUGGUCCAUUUUCUUGAAACUCAGCAACAAUUCCUGGUUCAUCUGAUUCCUGCUUGAUCACAUCCUGUAGAUCUUCUACUAGAUGAGAUGGUGUCUGAGGCUGAAAGGAAGAGUGGUUUUCACAGUCUGGUCUCUAUGAAAUGGUGUUGUAACAGUCAAUUUGUGACCAUUGAGAGGAGUAGAAGUCAAAGAAGCCAUUUCCAAGUCUAAGUUUUCAUGGUUACCAGAAGUGUUUAAGAACUAAAUACGGGAAGAAAGAAAAAAAAUACUUAAACAGUGAUUCGUUAUUCAGCCCAACUUAAAAAUCACACCAUGAUACAUAUAAGUUAAGUAUGUUUUACUGACCCUUCUUGUAAAAUAAUAAAGAUGCUAACAAGCACAUAGUAUUGGACAUAUUUCGGUAUGGGACUUAUUUCGGUUGGAGUGCAAUUUGGAGUGUAAUUUCCAAGAAAUAAAAUCCAGGGUCACUGCUGAAAAACUCACAAACUCUUACAAAAAUAUUCUCAAUAAAUGCCAUUAAAGAGAAUGGGAUGUAAUCUUUAUUAAGAUUAUAAGCAUCAAAGUGAUAUUUUUGGGAAAGUAAUUAUUGUAUUUUUAUGCAAUUUUUUCUCUAAUGAUCUAUGAAUGAUUGUGAUAGAAGGUUUGUAUUAUGUAGAACAUUCCUGAAUAAUAAACUGUGUUUCUCAGAAUGUCAUUGUUCUGGGGAAAUAACAGGUGUUCCUUAAAAAGUUCCAAGGUCAAAUAAGUUUGGGAAACAUACAUAUCAUAAUCUCCUCCUGGAAAUUCAUAAUGUGUAUCAGUGUAUUAAAAACUCUGAGAGGUCCUGCAGUAAAGAAACCAAUUUUAACUCUGACUUAGUGUUUCCCAAACUUAUAUUUUUAUACAUUUAGAUUUUUUUUGAACAUCUACAAGGUCUUGUAGACCUAAUAUCCUCCAGAACACAAUUUGGAAGAUACAAAUAAAAAAAACAAGAUAAUUUUUUUUGGUGGGUGCUUCAUUUGUUCAUACUUAAAGCUGUUCUUAAAAUAAACUCAACAGACAUAACUGGAAAAUGUUUUAAAGUGUCAAGUUACCUACUAACUUCCAUUAGUUUAAUAAUUAAGGAAUACGAAUCUCUGAUAAAAAUUAUAAUUUCCAUUCCUUAAAAAAAUUCAUGAGAUGAGAAUAUUCAUGGCAAAGACCGUGUUGAUAAAAUAGUAUGGCACAACUCAAAAAAGCCAAUGUUAAGAAAUUAAAAUUUAAAAAUAAGUGGUUUUUCUUAAGCAUCUGUUCCUUAUGCUUUUCCAAAACUUUUCCACUUAAGGAUGGAUUGGACCCUCUAAAGUUUCUGGUUGCAACCCAAAUGCUCUCCAAACAUAGUUUGGUCCCCUCCUUCCCUGGGUCAGUGAAUCACAAAAUAAUAAGUGAACAAAUAGGCAAAAAGUUUGCUAAAGUUUUUAAGGAGCAGGAAAGAAUGGGAGAAAAGGAAGGGAGAGAAAUGUUAAACUCCAGCAUUGGAGGAAAUAAAAGCACAUCCCAUGCAACUAACAGCAUUUCAAAUCACCAAAAAGAAAAAAAGAGAAUUAUGACAAAAUCAUCAGUCAGCCUACAGACAGCUCAAACUUGGGGAGGCAGUAUGACUUAGCAACAGCUCGAUUCAACGACGGAAUGAAAUCAGCAAGGGCAGCACUAAUUAGUCAUUUGUUCCAAAGGAUUAGUUUCUAGAUUAUUAAGGCUUUAGUGUCUGUUGAAAAUUAGUAAUAGCUCUGCAGAAAUCAUGCUCUACCUGCGAAGGGGAGAAAGGUAGGCUUUUGACAGGGGAGCGCUUGGGAGUUGAGCUGCUGACGUCAGCAAAUACGAAGGAGCUAGAGUCUCCAGUGGCCAAGGGGCUUGCCUGGCCCCGCUUUUUUCGUAGGAUGACCAGUGGAAAUGUGCUGUGCCUCGAAGGAGGUAAGGGCUUGAGCAGGUCAAGCGAACCCUCCCUCAACUUGAGUUUGUUCACCCUUGUGCUAGGCUCUCCCGCAGCUCUAUUCACACUGCCCUCUCUUUGCAGAAGCUGAAGGGCUUUGCCUGCGUGAUGUUGGCUAGGUGAAAAAUCUGCUUCUUCACAGAAUUCAAAACUGCUGAGAUCACACCAUGAUGAAGAAUCCUGAAACAAUGUGGGAGGCACAGAACUUUGAGACAGUGUGUGCAUGAUGUGUGCCAUCACCUGAAACACAGCACUGAGAAAGGCAGAGAAAACACCUGGCCCUCUUGAGAAAUAGCUUCAGGAUUAACAACUGUUCUGCUACGCUGCCUGGCAGCUCUAUCAUGCCGCCUCCAGAUUGGCCCUACAUAUGUGCCACAGGGACAUCCUGGUACUCUCUCCUUUGCAAGCAAUCCAAAGCCAAAAGAAAAGCUUUUUGAGAUGGCACAUUUUGGGAAGCUUCUUCCCACUAGAUGGAUAUACAAUAAAUACUUUUUAGCAACAAAGGAAAUGAACUGAGUAUCUAUGUCCUAGGUGCUGAACUCAACGUUUGUUUCAUUGAUGGUUUAUCUCAGUGAACCAAUCGGGACUGGCAAUCCAUAAUCAAUGUUCUUUGGCAAGAGCCAUGUACCACCAAUGAACUCAUGACUGCUUCAAAUACACUGAAAGACUGUGUUAAAUUAUGAGUAAAUACAAUUCUUAAUGUGCUAUCCAAAAGCAAAGCACAAUUCUAGAGAAAUGUAAAGAAGUAACAAAGUAAAAUAAGUUAAAAAAUAACUCAAACAUCAUUCCACAACCCAGGAUCUACUUGUAGGUCAUUAACUUUAUUUUAAAAAAAUAUGCAUUUUGAAGGAAAUGCAUGAAAGGCUAUCUUUUAUCUGAGUAGCCUAUAAAGUCAGAUCUUUGACAAAACAUAUAUAUGCAAAGGCUAAAAUCACACUUUUAUAGUAAUAUAUGCAAAUAAAAUGAUAUUUGCUAUAGAAAAAUGGCAAUCAUUUGAGAAAUGGGUUUUGUCAUUCACCUUCAAAAACAUUAACUUGCCUUAACAAUUCUACUUACAGAAUCUAUAAAUUGAAGUGUUUCUGCAAAUUCUAAGAGGUUCUUAACAUUAUCCAGAAUGGUGCCUUGGUGGACGAUCAUGCACCUCGCUGGCGAGGCACUUUCUUCAGGUAGGGAGCCAGGAUCCACAGGCAGAGAUGGAGUGGAGUGGUGUUCUUCCAAACAGGAAACAGGUGCACUGUCCCCAUGAGGUCUGGUGUGGUCAGCGAUGGUAGUGCUGUGCCACCCGGGAUAGCUGCACGUGUGGUUCUGGCUCUGAGGCGGGGGCAGGGGGAAUAAAGAAAGAGCAGGGAGAAGAAAGGGAGAAGGAACUUAGCAAUGAAGUUGCACAAGGUAUCAGAUGCUGUUGGAGGAAAGAUAAAAGCAGUUGCAUCAUCCAAAACUUGCACCCAUGAAACAGUUGUCAAGAUGUUUCCUUUUAUCGAUGCAAGACCCUUUUUAAGAGUGGUACUGUCUGUCACCUAUGUGAAUACCCUCGCUGUCAUCAUUUUGCUAAAACUGCAAACAGAGGGACUAGGUCACAAAGUAUAAGCCUCACAUGGACCAUCCAAAAGAUCUGCUUUCAUGUAACUACAAAAAAGGCCAUACGUGGUUGCUGCAGACUAAGAAUUACCCUGUUCUUCUAAUCUAUGAAAAGGCCAAAGGACUCAAGUCAGAGUUGCUUAAUCUGCAUAUAUUCUUGUUGCUUCUAAGCCUUCUUAAUGUUACAGAUUGCACUGAUGCACUGAAGGGCUGCCAAAUCAACGUGGUUAGGAAAGCAGAAGAGCACAUUAACAGAAGUCUCCUUUCAGCAUGACCGCGCAACAGGAGAAAUUGCAAAACAUUAACUAAAGUUAAAAAGUGGUCGAGCAAACAUAGGCACCUAAUCAUCUUAUUAUU